rnacentral:sRNA from 1 species
GCCAGGCAUGGUGGUGCAUGCCUGUAAUCCCAGUGGCUCCAGAGGCUGAGGCAGGAGGAUCACAAGUUCAAGGCCAGCCUCAGCUACUUAGUGGGGCCCUAAGCAACUUAAUGAGACCCUGUCUCUA